rnacentral:rRNA from 1 species
AGAUUGAACGCUGGCGGCAGGCCUAACACAUGCAAGUCGAGCGGUGGAGAGGUGCUUGCAUCUCUUGAGAGCGGCGGACGGGUGAGUAAUGCCUAGGAAUCUGCCUAGUGGUGGGGGAUAACGGUUCGGAAACGGACGCUAAUACCGCAUACGUCCUACGGGAGAAAGCGGGGGACCUUCGGGCCUCGCGCCAUUAGAUGAGCCUAGGUCGGAUUAGCUAGUUGGUGAGGUAAUGGCUCACCAAGGCGACGAUCCGUAACUGGUCUGAGAGGAUGAUCAGUCACA